rnacentral:misc_RNA from 1 species
CGAUGAUGAUUGGGAAGGUGUAGAAAGUACUGAGUUGGAUGAGGCGUUUAGUGCUGCGACAGCGUUUGUGGUUGCUACGGCAGCUGAUCGGUCGCAUAAGGUAUCAAAUGAGGUGCAACUGCAGCUCUAUGGGCUUUAUAAGAUUGCGACUGAGGGACCUUGCACUGCUCCACAGCCAUCGGCUCUCAAAAUGACUGCUCGUGCCAAAUGGCAAGCAUGGCAGAAAUUGGGUGCCAUGCCUCCUGAAGAAGCCAUGGAGAAGUAUCUUGAUAUCGUGACCGAGUUAUUUCCUUCCUGGCUUGAUGGGUCUGCAAAUAAAAAGAAGGGUGAAGAAAGUAGUGGUGCACAUAAUGCAGAUACUAGAGGGCGGCCGAUGGGACCAGUUUUCAGUACCUUCAUUAGUGAGGAGGAUUCCGAAAAUGAGUUAAAAUUGGAUGAGAUACAUGCCUUUGCACGAGAAGGGGAUGACGAGAACUUGCUUAAGUGCAUUGAGAGUGGCGUUCCUGUGGAUGUGAAAGACAGUGAGGGCCGUGCCCCCUUACACUGGGCUGUCGAUCGUGGUCAUCUCAACAUCACUAAAUUGCUUUUAAGCAGGAAUGCAGAUGUAAAUGCCAAGGACCUUGAAGGCCAAACGGCACUGCAUUAUGCUGCUGUUUGUGAAAGGGCAGAUAUUGCUGAGUUUCUCGUAAAGCAUGGUGCUGACGUAGAGAUCAAGGAUAAUGAAGGUGACUGCCCUCGUGAUGUCUGUGAGUUGCACUGGCCUUGGUUGCAGCAGGCCACUGUCCACAACUAACGUACAUCAUAUUUUGUCUUUUUUCCUCCUUUUCUACUGAUCGAUCAUGUUACUGCUGUACAUGCUUAUGUAGCCACCUAUUUAUCAUCUUUCGAGGAAUGGAUUUUCUCUUCUAGAUUUUAGUAAAGCAUGCUAUCUUUUGUAGCUUCUGUGCUGUCACUUAAAAACAGAGCAUGGAGCAAUAAGAUUGCCACUUGAAG